UCCGUAGGGUGCGAGCGUUACUCGGAAUUACUGGGCGUAAAGCGUGCGCAGGCGGUUUUGUUAGCCAGGCGUGAAAUCCCCGGGCUUAACCUGGGAAUGGCAUUUGGGACUGCAAGGCUCGAGUGCGGCAGAGGAGACUGGAAUUCCUGGUGUAGCAGUGAAAUGCGUAGAUAUCAGGAGGAAUACCGAUGGCGAAGGCAGGUCUCUGGGCUGACACUGACGCUCAUGCACGAAAGCGUGGGGAGCAAACAGG
rnacentral:rRNA from 1 species